rnacentral:lncRNA from 1 species
UAUGGGCAUUAUGAAUAAAAAGUGUCUGCGCGACGCACAUUUUUCGUUACCAUCGGACAACGUACGUUCCUGUAAACAAAGACGCAAUUCCUAGUGGCCUAAAUGAGAUAAGAAAGUGCUCUUAAGGGAUCUAUCUACAAGUUGGAUUGUCACAUAUCUUUUGAUUUUUAUAAAUAUAAAAUUAUGAAGAUUUGUAUAAUUCUCAGCAUUUUUGUUUCGCUUGCUGUAUUAAUCAAUGCACAUGCGUCGAAAAGGGCUGCGACCUCAACAGUGGCGUCUCAAAUUCGCUUCCUUCUAGAUGAGGAGAAAAGUCUGAGACAGAAGCUAGAAACAAGGGUACAGAAGUUACGACAACAAGCUGCUAGUUUGAACAACACUAAUAGUUCCUUGUACUUGCACGACAUCAUCACCCACUAGUACCUCCUCUACUCAGGUUGCGUACACAGGGACCACUGGAACAAGCACUAUAUCAAGUCUGAACCCAAACACUGUCUUCAACUUCACUCAUGAUCUUGUCAAUAUUGGACAUGCAUUCAAUCCAACUGAUGGCCAUUUUUAUGCACCCGUUGACGGGCUAUACGGCUUCUCAUUGGCUGUUUACAUGGCCGUGCGGUAUUCUAUAAAAAUGGAGCUGGUGGCGAAUGGUAAACCAAUCCUUAACGUACAGACGGCCCAUUAUUAUUCAGGCAGUUACAACCGACAAGAGAACAUGGCAGUCAACUUUGCUGUCGUCAACAUUACGAAAGGAACGGAAGUAUGGCCUCGCUAUAUUUCCGGUUCCGGUUCCCUCUACGGACAAGGCGUUCCUACAUUUUCCGGAUAUCUUCUUCAUGAAUUUUAACGUUAUGAUGCGUGUAAAAUAAGAGAAUAAGUAAAACAAUAUAAUGACUG